AGAGUUUGAUCAUGGCUCAGGAGCCAGGAGGCUUAACACAUGCAAGUCGAGGGGUAACAUUGGAGCUUGCUUCAGAUGACGACCGGCGCACGGGUGAGUAACGCGUAUGCAACCUACCUCAAACAGGGGAAUAGCUCAGGGAAACCUGGAUUAAUACCCCAUAAUAUUUAGAUUUGGCAUCAGAUUUAAAUUAAAACUCCGGUGGUUUGAGAUGGGCAUGCGUGACAUUAGCUAGUUGGUAAGGUAAUGGCUUACCAAGGCUACGAUGUCUAGGGGUUCUGAGAGGAUGAUCCCCCACACUGGUACUGAGACACGGACCAGACUCCUACGGGAGGCAGCAGUGAGGAAUAUUGGUCAAUGGGCGCAAGCCUGAACCAGCCAUCCCGCGUGUAGGAAGACUGCCCUAUGGGUUGUAAACUGCUUUUAUAUAGGAAGAAAAUGUUCUACGUGUAGAGCACUGACGGUACUAUAAGAAUAAGCAUCGGCUAACUCCGUGCCAGCAGCCGCGGUAAUACGGAGGAUGCAAGCGUUAUCCGGAUUUAUUAGGUUUAAAGGGUGUGUAGGCGGCUUAUUAAGUCAGUGGUGAAAUCCUGCGGCUCAACCGUAGAACUGCCAUUGAUACUGAUAAGCUUGAAUAUAGUUGAGGUAGGCGGAAUGAGUAGUGUAGCGGUGAAAUGCUUAGAUAUUACACAGAACACCGAUUGCGAAGGCAGCUUACUAAGCUAUUACUGACGCUGAUGCACGAAAGCGUGGGUAGCGAACAGGAUUAGAUACCCUGGUAGUCCACGCCGUAAACGAUGUUCACUCGCUGUAUGCAAUACACCGUAUGCGGCCAAGCGAAAGUAUUAAGUGAACCACCUGGGGAGUACGAUCGCAAGGUUGAAACUCAAAGGAAUUGACGGGGGCCCGCACAAGCGGAGGAACAUGUGGUUUAAUUCGAUGAUACGCGAGGAACCUUACCUGGGCUUAAAUGUAGAUUGCAUAACUUAGAAAUAGGUUUUCCCUUCGGGGCUAUUUACAAGGUGCUGCAUGGUUGUCGUCAGCUCGUGCCGUGAGGUGUCGGGUUAAGUCCCAUAACGAGCGCAACCCCUAUCGUUAGUUGCCAGCGGAUAAUGCCGGGGACUCUAGCGAGACUGCCACCGUAAGGUGAGAGGAAGGUGGGGAUGACGUCAAAUCAGCACGGCCCUUAUGUCCAGGGCUACACACGUGUUACAAUGGUCGGUACAAAGGGCAGCUACAUGGCAACAAGAUGCUAAUCCCUAAAGCCGAUCCCAGUUCGGAUUGGAGUCUGCAACCCGACUCCAUGAAGUUGGAUUCGCUAGUAAUCGGAUAUCAGCAAUGAUCCGGUGAAUACGUUCCCGGGCCUUGUACACACCGCCCGUCAAACCAUGGAUGCUGGGGGUACCUGAAGUCUGUGACCGCAAGGAGCGGCCUAGGGUAAAACUAGUAACUGGGGCUAAGUCGUAACAAGGUAACCCUAA
rnacentral:rRNA from 1 species